rnacentral:lncRNA from 1 species
UCUAGAAGCAGUUUGUUCAUUAGGUGCAAGGUGCAGGGCCAGCCUGCAAGGUGCAGGAGAGCAACUGGACCAAUGAGGGUUUCCAUGCCAACCUGAAGAGGUUGGUCUUUAUUCUCAGGAUGACAGUCAUCCGUCGUUGGACUGUUCUAAGGAAGACAGAGAUAUAACUAAAAUGGUGUUUUAGAAACAGCUUUCUGGCUGCAGUGAGAGAAGAUGGGUUGGGGGGUGAGGAGCCAAGGGUGAAGAAAAGGAGCGCUAGAGGCGCCCCCACGGGCCAUGGGGCAGCCUGCAGAAAGUGCAGAUGGACAGUAGCAAGUUAAAGGCAGGAGAGCCGACGCCCCGGGGCUUGCCUGGCUGCUGAGGGUGACAGUGGAAAAUCUAGGCGGGCGUCCAGAUUUCUCAUACAGAGGUGUUUUCUUUUUGUUAGUUUCAACGCAGCCGCAACUUGCCUCUGACAUUUCAAAGUGAUGGAGGUGCCUUUUCUUCCCGCCACCCUCUCUGGUGCUUCCUGCGCGUCGCGCAUCUCGGGCUCUGAAGACCCUUGCUCCGGAUGACCAGGAGGAGAGUGCAUGCCACACGUCCGAAGCUGCGUCUCCACAGAGAUCCCCUCCUUCCUGGUGCCUCGCUCACAUUCUUGAAGCCCCCUGGCUCCUUGCCCAACACUCCCCAGUCUCACAAAGAAAAGAAUUUGCUUUUUUUUCCCCUUCCUCCAAGCUCUCCUUCUCUUUCUCUAGCUCUCUCACUGUUUGUCUCUGUCUCACAGCCUCUCUCAGUCUCUGUCUGAAUCUUUCUGUCUCAGUCUCAGUCUCUGUCUCCCUGUCUCUGUCUCUCUUUCUGUCUCUGCCUGUCUCUCUGUGUGUCUCUGUUUCUCUCUCUCUGCUUUUCAGUCUCUCCUCUCUCUCUUUUCCUCUCUCUCUUUUUCAAAUUUCAAAGCGUUGCUUUGAAUGACGGACUAUUCAGGACAGGCAGAAUGAGGCCUCUCUGGGGCUCGGCUGCAGUCAAAGC